UUAAGAAUCUUGCGCAAUGGGGGCAACCCUGACGCAGCGACGCCGCGUGGAUGAUGAAGGCCCUCGGGUUGUAAAGUCCGGUAAGCAGGGAAGAAUAAGCAACGGGAAAUAUUCGUUGUGAUGACGGUACCUGCCUAAAGCCCCGGCUAACUACGUGCCAGCAGCCGCGGUAAUACGUAUGGGGCGAGCGUUGUUCGGAAUUAUUGGGCGUAAAGGGCGUCUAGGCGGGGGAUUAAGUUAGAUGUGAAAGCUAUGGGCUCAACCCAUAAAUGGCAUCUAAGACUGGUUGUCUUGAGUGCGGGAGAGGAGAGCGGAAUUCCAGGUGUAGCGGUGAAAUGCGUAGAUAUCGGGAAGAACACCAGUGGCGAAGGCGGCUCUCUGGCCUAGGACUGACGCUGAAGCGCGAAAGCGUGGGGAGCGAACA
rnacentral:rRNA from 1 species